UACGGGGGUGGCAAGCGUUGUUCGGAAUUACUGGGCGUAAAGCGUGCGCAGGCGGUUCGUUGUGUCGGCGGGGAAAGCCCCGGGCUCAACCUGGGAAUGGCCGUUGAAACUGGCGAACUGGAGUGUGGCAGAGGGGGGUGGAAUUCCGCGUGUAGCAGUGAAAUGCGUAGAGAUGCGGAGGAACACCGAUGGCGAAGGCAGCCCCCUGGGCUGACACUGACGCUCAGGCACGAAAGCGUGGGGAGCAAACAGG
rnacentral:rRNA from 1 species